GGUCCGGUGGCAGAGUGGCUAUGCAGCGGAUUGCAAAUCCGUGUACGUCGGUUCGAUUCCGGCCCGGACCUCCA
rnacentral:tRNA from 1 species